UUAAUUGAAACCAAAAUAGCGGUUCAUCACUGUUAAUGAUGAAAUUGGAAUACUAUUCCCAAUUAAA
rnacentral:tRNA from 1 species